GCCGAUGUAGCUCAGAGGGAGAGCGCCGGAUUUGGGUCCGGAGGUCAGGGGUUCGAGUCCCUUCAUCAGCACCA
rnacentral:tRNA from 2 species